UACAGAGGGUGCGAGCGUUGUUCGGAAUUAUUGGGCGUAAAGGGCGCGUAGGCGGUGCGGUAAGUCACCUGUGAAAUCUCCUGGCUCAACUGGGAGCUUGCAGGCGAAACUGCCGUGCUGGAGUGUGGGAGAGGUGAGUGGAAUUCCCGGUGUAGCGGUGAAAUGCGUAGAUAUCAGGAGGAACACCUGCGGUGUAGACGGCUUUCUGGACCAUUGCUGACGCUGAGACACGAAAGCGUGGGUAGCAAACAGG
rnacentral:rRNA from 1 species